rnacentral:rRNA from 1 species
GACGAACGCUGGCGGCGUGCUUAACACAUGCAAGUCGAACGGAAAGGCCCUGCUUUUGUGGGGUGCUCGAGUGGCGAACGGGUGAGUAACACGUGAGUAACCUGCCCUUGACUUUGGGAUAACUUCAGGAAACUGGGGCUAAUACCGGAUAGGAGCUCCUGCUGCAUGGUGGGGGUUGGAAAGUUUCGGCGGUUGGGGAUGGACUCGCGGCUUAUCAGCUUGUUGGUGGGGUAGUGGCUUACCAAGGCUUUGACGGGUAGCCGGCCUGAGAGGGUGACCGGCCAAAUGGGAACGAGGAAACGGCCCAGACUCGUACGGGGGGAAGCGGUGGGGAAAAUUGCACAAUGGGCGGAGGCCGGAUGCAGCAACGCCGGGGGCGGAAUGACGGCCUUCGGGUUGUAAACGGCUUUGGCCUGUGACGAAGGGUGAGUGAGGGAAAUGGGUAAGAAAGCACGGGCUAACUAGGU